GAUGAAGAACGCAGCGAAAUGCGAUAAGUAAUGUGAAUUGCAGAAUUCAGUGAAUCAUCGAAUCUUUGAACGCACAUUGCGCCCCUUGGUAUUCCGAGGGGCAUGCCUGUUCGAGCGUCAUAUUAACCACUCCCGCUUGCGGGGUCUUGGGCUUCGCCUCCGGGCGGGCCUUAAAAUCAGUGGCGGUGCCGUCGGGCUCUACGCGUAGUAAAUUUUCUCGCGAUAGGGUCCCGGUGGAUGCUUGCCAACAACCCCCAACUUCUUAAGGUUGACCUCGGAUCAGGUAGGGAUACCCGCUGAACUUAAGCAUAUUAAUAAGCGGAGGA
rnacentral:misc_RNA from 1 species